UUUCACCGAAUGCUUGCAUUCACCGAAAGAAGCUUAGUGGCGAACGGGUGAGUAACACGUAGGCAACCUGCCCAAAAGAGGGGGAUAACACUUGGAAACAGGUGCUAAUACCGCAUAACCAUGAACACCGCAUGAUGUUCAUGUAAAAGACGGCUUUUGCUGUCACUUUUGGAUGGGCCUGCGGCGUAUUAACUUGUUGGUGGGGUAACGGCCUACCAAGGUGAUGAUACGUAGCCGAACUGAGAGGUUGAUCGGCCACAUUGGGACUGAGACACGGCCCAAACUCCUACGGGAGGCAGCAGUAGGGAAUCUUCCACAAUGGACGAAAGUCUGAUGGAGCAACGCCGCGUGAAUGAAGAAGGCCUUCGGGUCGUAAAAUUCUGUUGUCAGAGAAGAACGUGCGUGAGAGUAACUGUUCACGUAUUGACGGUAUCUGACCAGAAAGCCACGGCUAACUACGUGCCAGCAGCCGCGGUAAUACGUAGGUGGCGAGCGUUGUCCGGAUUUAUUGGGCGUAAAGGGAACGCAGGCGGUCUUUUAAGUCUGAUGUGAAAGCCUUCGGCUUAACCGAAGUAGUGCAU
rnacentral:rRNA from 1 species